UUGUGCAGUGAAAAUUUAAAACAGUAGUGAGAAGUGUAUGUGCAUUUUUUUUUAUUUACUAAAGAAAUAUUAGCAAAAGAAAAACAGUAAUUGUUACAUUAGAAACAAAUUAAAAGAUUAAAACAUUUAGGUUUCUUAAUUAAAAACGUGGUGCGAGCACAUUGUCCUUAUAGUCGAACAAGAUGAAAAAAUGGAUGAAGUCAGGAUUUACAAUAACAAAAGAAAAUGGGUAAAGUUUUUUUGUAGAUGUAGACCAAAAUAAUUUUUGGAGCUGAAUAAGGGAAAAUAUUCAACAGAAAAUUACAUCUUGGGUAAAGUUUUUUGUGAAUUUUUUGAAAGAAAUACUGAGAUGAUUGCGCUCGACCAACAUAAUUUUUGGAGCUGAAUAAGGGAAAAUAUUCACCAGAAAAUUACAUCUUGGGUUAGGUUUUUUUUUGUGGAUUUUUUAAAGAAAUACUGAGAUUAUUGCGCUCGACAAAAAUAAUCCAACAUUUUUGGAGCUGAAUGAGGGAAAAAAUAUUCACCAGAAAAUGACAUCUUGAUAAAGUUUUUCGUGAAUUUUUUUUAAAAGAAAUACUGAGACGAUUGCGCUCGACAAAAAUAAAUUUUGGAGCUGAAUGAGAGAAAAUAUUCAUCAGAAAAUGAUAACUUGGGUAAAGUUAUUCGUGAAUUUUUUUUAAAGAAAUACUGAGGUGAUUGCGCUUGACAAGAAUAAUUCAACAUUUUGGUGCUGAGGGAAAAUAAUGACAUCUUGGGUAAGUACCUAAAACAAUUAAUAUUUAUUUUCAUGAUGAUUUCUCGAAAAAGGGACAAAAAAUAUCAAAAAUGUUCCCGAAAGUUUAAUUAAUUAUCUUAU